rnacentral:rRNA from 1 species
ACGGGUGAGUAAUACUUAUCUAACUUGCCAAUUAGUGGGGGAUAACCAUGGGAAACCAUGGCUAAUACCGCAUUUGUUACUUCGGUAAUGAAAGAGAGUCGCAAGAUUCUCGCUAAUUGAUAGGGAUAAGUCGUAUUAGUUAGUUGGUGGGGUAAUGGCCUACCAAGACCAUGAUGCGUAGCCAGUCUGAGAGGAUGAAUGGCCACAAGGGAACUGAGACACGGUCCCUACUCCUACGGGAGGCAGCAGUGAGGAAUUUUCGGCAAUGGGGGCAACCCUGACCGAGCAAUACUACGUGAAGGAGGAAGGUCUACGGAUUGUAAACUUCUGUUAGCAGGGAAGAAGGGCUGGACGUGAGUUCAGUUUUGACGGUACCUGCAGAGAAAGCGACGACUAACUACGUGCCAGCAGUCGCGGUAAGACGUAGGUCGCGAACGUUAUCCGGAAUUAUUGGGCGUAAAGGGUGCGUAGAUGGUAUAAUAAGUUACUGGUGGGAAAUCGAGGCCUAACCUCGUGGAAGUCGGUAAUACUGUUAUACUUGAGUGCAGGAGAGGUUAACGGAACUCCAUGUGGAGCGGUAAAAUGCGUAGAUAUAUGGAAGAACACCAAUAACGGCGAAGGCAGUUAACUAUUCUGUUACUGACAUUGAGGCACGAAAGCGUGGGGAGCAAAACGGAUUAGAUACCCGUGUAGUCCACGCCCUAAACGAUGAGUGCUAGAUAUUGGGAACUUGAUUCUCAGUGUCGCUAGGUAACCCGGUAAGUACUCCGCCUGGGUAGUACGCUCGCAAGAGUGAAACUCAAAGGAAUUGACGGGGACUCGCACAAGCAGUGGAGCAUGUGGUUUAAUCCGAUACAACGCGUAGAACCUUACCAAGGCUUGACAUGUUGGGCAAAGCUAGGGAAACCUAGUGGAGGUUAUCCUAACACAGGUGCUGCAUGGCCGUCGUCAGUUCGUGCCGUGAGGUGUAUGGUUAAGUCCUAUAACGAACGCAACCCUUGGGCUUAGUUACCAGCAUUCAGUUGGGGACUCUAAGCCGACUGCCUGAGCAAUCAGGAGGAAGGAAAGGAUGACGUCUGGUCGUC